CACUAUCGUUAACUGAAUACAUAGGUUAACGAGGCGAACCGGGGGAACUGAAACAUCUAAGUACCCCGAGGAAAAGAAAUCAACCGAGAUUCCCCCAGUAGCGGCGAGCGAACGGGGAGCAGCCCAGAGUCUGAAUCAGCUUGUGUGUUAGUGGAACGGUCUGGAAAGUCCGACGGUACAGGGUGAUAGUCCCGUACACCAAAAUGCACAGGCUGUGAACUCGAAGAGUAGGGCGGGACACGUGGUAUCCUGUCUGAAUAUGGGGGGACCAUCCUCCAAGGCUAAAUACUCCUGACUGACCGAUAGUGAACCAGUACCGUGAGGGAAAGGCGAAAAGAACCCCGGCGAGGGGAGUGAAAAAGAACCUGAAACCGUGUACGUACAAGCAGUGGGAGCACCUUCGGGUGUGACUGCGUACCUUUUGUAUAAUGGGUCAGCGACUUAUAUUCUGUAGCAAGGUUAACCGUAUAGGGGAGCCGCAGGGAAACCGAGUCUUAACUGGGCGUUAAGUUGCAGGGUAUAGACCCGAAACCCGGUGAUCUAGCCAUGGGCAGGUUGAAGGUUGGGUAACACUAACUGGAGGACCGAACCGACUAAUGUUGAAAAAUUAGCGGAUGACUUGUGGCUGGGGGUGAAAGGCCAAUCAAACCGGGAGAUAGCUGGUUCUCCCCGAAAGCUAUUUAGGUAGCGCCUCGUGAAUUCAUCUUCGGGGGUAGAGCACUGUUUCGGCUAGGGGGUCAUCCCGACUUACCAACCCGAUGCAAACUACGAAUACCGAAGAAUGUUAUCACGGGAGACACACGGCGGGUGCUAACGUCCGUCGUGAAGAGGGAAACAACCCAGACCGCCAGCUAAGGUCCCAAAGUCAUGGUUAAGUGGGAAACGAUGUGGGAAGGCACAGACAGCCAGGAUGUUGGCUUAGAAGCAGCCAUCAUUUAAAGAAAGCGUAAUAGCUCACUGGUCGAGUCGGCCUGCGCGGAAGAUGUAACGGGGCUAAACCAUGCACCGAAGCUGCGGCAGCGACACUAUGUGUUGUUGGGUAGGGGAGCGUUCUGUAAGCCUGCGAAGGUGACCUGUGAGGGUUGCUGGAGGUAUCAGAAGUGCGAAUGCUGACAUAAGUAACGAUAAAGCGGGUGAAAAGCCCGCUCGCCGGAAGACCAAGGGUUCCUGUCCAACGUUAAUCGGGGCAGGGUGAGUCGACCCCUAAGGCGAGGCCGAAAGGCGUAGUCGAUGGGAAACAGGUUAAUAUUCCUGUACUUGGUGUUACUGCGAAGGGGGGACGGAGAAGGCUAUGUUAGCCGGGCGACGGUUGUCCCGGUUUAAGCAUGUAGGCUGGUUGUCCAGGCAAAUCCGGAUAAUCAAGGCUGAGGUGUGAUGACGAGGCACUACGGUGCUGAAGUAACAAAUGCCCUGCUUCCAGGAAAAGCCUCUAAGCAUCAGGUAACAU
rnacentral:rRNA from 1 species